rnacentral:rRNA from 1 species
CAGCACCUCAAGUGGUCAGGAUGAUUAUUGGGCCUAAAGCAUCCGUAGCCGGCUCUGUAAGUUUUCGGUUAAAUCUGUACGCUUAACGUACAGGCUGCCGGGAAUACUGCAGAGCUAGGGAGUGGGAGAGGUAGACGGUACUCGGUAGGAAGGGGUAAAAUCCUUUGAUCUAUUGAUGACCACCUGUGGCGAAGGCGGUAUACCAGAACACGUCCGACGGUGAGGGAUGAAAGCUGGGGGAGCAAACCGGAUUAGAUACCCGAGUAGUCC